GAACUGCGAUAAGUAAUGUGAAUUGCAGAAUUCAGUGAAUCAUCGAGUCUUUGAACGCACAUUGCGCCCCCUGGCAUUCCGGGGGGCAUGCCUGUCCGAGCGUCAUUGCUGCCCUUCAAGCCCGGCUUGUGUGUUGGGUCGUCGUCCCCUCCGGGGGACGGGCCCGAAAGGCAGCGGCGGCACCGCGUCCGGUCCUCGAGCGUAUGGGGCUUUGUCACCCGCUCGAUAAGGACCGGCCGGGCGCCAGCCGGCGUCUCCAACCUUUUUUUCUCAGGUUGACCUCGGAUCAGGUAGGGAUACCCGCUGAGCUUAAGC
rnacentral:misc_RNA from 1 species